rnacentral:rRNA from 1 species
AUUGAACGCUGGCGGCAGGCUUAACACAUGCAAGUCGAGCGAGCGGCGGACGGGUGUGUAAUGUCCGGGAAACUGCCUCAUGGAGGCGGAUAACUCCUGGAACCGGGAGCUAAUACCGCAUACCAUCAGAUGUGCCCAGGUGGGAUUAGCUAGUAGGUGGGGUAAUGGCUCACCUAGCAGACGAUCCCUAGCUGGUCUGAGAGGAUGACCAGCCACACUGGAACUGAGACACGGUCCAGACUCCUACGGGAGGCAGCAGUGGGGAAUAUUGCACAAUGGGCGCAAGCCUGAUGCAGCCAUGCCGCGUGUGUGAAGAAGGCCUUCGGGUUGUAAAGCACUUUCAGCGGGGAGGCGUUACUCGCAGAAGAAGCACCGGCUAACUCCGUGCCAGCAGCCGCGGUAAUUC